GAAAAGAGAAACGGCGAUUUAUAAUAUUUGUUUUAUUCGCGCGCGUGAUAAUUUACAAUAAUAUAUUACGGUCGCCCGCGGCUAUCUGUCGAGAGAAAAAAACAAAAAAAAAACAGCAACAAAUUCUAUUACGAGCAUCGUAUGCUUUUGUACGCGCGUCUAUUAUGCGCCGGGAGUAGCCGGGGCCGCUGUAGAGAUUUUAUACAGAUAUUCAUCUGUACGCCGUCGACGGAAUAACAAUAAGAGAUCAGAAUAUUAUAACAAUAGAGUCGCGCCGGUUUUGUUUCGAUAUGCGGAUGAGCUGUGCAGUGUUAUAUAGGCCGCAUUCGGGGCAGAACAUAUUAAUAUUAUUAUUAUUAUUAUUAUUAUUAUUAUUCCGUAAUACACGUUAAAAAAGACGAUACAUACCACAAAUUCGUCGAGAGUCACCGGUCGUAAAUUGUGAUGGCAACCCAUUUUGGUACGGGUUACGAUUCGUAGUGACCACCGGUGAGGCGGUGAAGAUAUUCGUCUAACUCACGUCCUUUGUAGAUGACUUAGCCCCUCCUAUUGUUGCGAAAUAAUAAAAAGAUACCCGUUUCGUACGAUAUGGACAACAAAACAAUGACAGCAACAACAUCUUAAACGGAUACGAAAAUAAUGAUAAGUGUGAACAAGACGUUUCGCCGGGGAGAAACAACAAUUCUGGAUGGGACGAUGCAAAAAGUCACCGGUAGUCACCUCACCGCCUAUCCGAGACGGUCACACAAUUUCGUGACCGUUUCGUAACCAGUGCGACCGGCGAGACUUAACAAACUUCAUUAUUUCGUAACCGAUUCCAAUUUUUAGGGGAUAUAGUCACUGGUUACUCCCAACGAAUUUGUGGAUAUAGUCGAAAGUAUUAUACAAGGUUAUAUUAUGCACGAUCGAUAGUAAUAAUAUUAUAUUGUAUUUAUAUAGGCGAACGGAUAUUGUAUAAUAAAUAGAUGUGCG